rnacentral:rRNA from 1 species
UACGGAAGGGGCAGGCGUUACUCUUUUUAACUGGGUGUAAAGCGUAUUUUGAUUGUAUUUGAACAUAGUUUUAAUAAGUUUCAAAAUGAUGAAAGCAAUAAAUAUGUUUAAUGCUAAUUUUUAUUUAUAUCAAUUCAAUUCUUAGUUUAAGGAUAAAAUUUUUUAAGACUAAGAGGAAACCCAAUUGCGAAGGCAUGGAUUUAGGUAAAAAUGAUAUUUAAGUACGAAAACUUGGGGAGCAAACAGG